CCCCUCCCCCGGUGGGAGACAGGAGGAGGAGGGAGAGGAAGAUAGGGUGUUGGUAGAGGAGAUGGGUGAUAAUCUCAACACCAGUGUGGACUACAGCAGCAGACUCACUGCCUCCUGGUUGUCUGACCCACCUUUUGGAUUAUUGCCUAGGGAAUGUAUCUAUUUUGGAUGUCCCUCGCCAUAUCUCCCUCUGGAAUACCUAUCGGGUUUCCCUCUUUGACUCUCCUGCGGCCCGGAGUAGAUCCUGCCGCUACCUGUUUUUUUCUCUGGCUAGUUAUAGGGCCUCUCCACUGAAGCGCUUCCCUACCUGGCUCCACUCUUCUCCACCUGCUUUUUCUCUGGUUAGUUAUAGGGCCUCUCCACCGAAGCGCUUCCCGACCUAGCCUCCACUCUUCUGCCAUCGCAUGGACCCCCGCCGUCAAUCUCAUUAGGUUUCCGCUCUCUUUCUUUUGCUCUGCUGGCGAGGAUUGUAUUUCACGUGUUUUUGACUGUGGGUUCUAGUGCUAGCUGGAUUAGAGUAGGCUAGUUGGGCUCUGGCUUGCUGCUUUGCUAACCAUGGGGGUUUCUGUGUGGAUUCAUCUGUAAUUUUAUUUGAUCUAAAUUGCUGUCAUGCACCUGCCCACGGGCUCCUCUCUGUUCCUCCUGUUUGCUCUCUGCCCUGGAAUAGUAUGGAUUCCCACUCCCUGUUUUAUCCCGACCAAAUACUACUCCCCCCUGAUUUUCGUCGCAUGAAUAAUAACUAUCGGCUCCGGCUCUCCUAUGAUGUCCUUAUCCCGCCCACUCAUCGGGCAUCCUACGUAGACGCUGCUACCUGCAUCA
ensembl:lncRNA